ACGGGUGAGUAACGCGUGGGAAUCUACCGUGCCCUGCGGAAUAGCUCCGGGAAACUGGAAUUAAUACCGCAUACGCCCUACGGGGGAAAGAUAUAUCGGGGUAUGAUGAGCCCGCGUUGGAUUAGCUAGUUGGUGGGGUAAAGGCCUACCAAGGCGACGAUCCAUAGCUGGUCUGAGAGGAUGAUCAGCCACAUUGGGACUGAGACACGGCCCAAACUCCUACGGGAGGCAGCAGUGGGGAAUAUUGGACAAUGGGCGCAAGCCUGAUCCAGCCAUGCCGCGUGAGUGAUGAAGGCCUUAGGGUUGUAAAGCUCUUUCACCGGAGAAGAUAAUGACGGUAUCCGGAGAAGAAGCCCCGGCUAACUUCGUGCCAGCAGCCGCGGUAAUACGAAGGGGGCUAGCGUUGUUCGGAAUUACUGGGCGUAAAGCGCACGUAGGCGGAUAUUUAAGUCAGGGGUGAAAUCCCAGAGCUCAACUCUGGAACUGCCUUUGAUACUGGGUAUCUUGAGUAUGGAAGAGGUAAGUGGAAUUCCGAGUGUAGAGGUGAAAUUCGUAGA
rnacentral:rRNA from 1 species